CUUCAGAGGCAGCCGCUCUUUAAUGCUCCCUCUUAAUUUGUUUGCAGGUAACGACCUCCUGUCUAAUGAAUGCUAACUUCUUCAUUUAAUGAACCAUCUGCUGCGGCUGCUGCUGAAGAUGCUGCUGCUUCUACAUUCAUUCACCUUUCUUGAUUUGAUCCUCAAACAGAUCAGGAAGAUUCAGCGUGUAAAAAGGUUCAUCCUCAGAGGAGACCGAACAGUUUGAUAAAUGUUUUGUUGGUUUGCAGCGCUCCUUCAGAUCCAGCGUUUAGUCUGUGGCGAACGGAGGUUGAAGUGGGAUUUGAAUAUUUUAGUAGAUUUUGAUUUUCCUGAAAAGGUCAGAGACAUAAACGCUGAAAGGUUUAUUACUUCAUCAACGAUUCCCCCGACAGACUCUCACUGAAGCACAUUACAUUAACCUAAAGAGGGAAACACAGACCUUAUCAUGUUAUUAUGAGAUUUGGGGAGACAUAAUUACCAGCUCCAGAUCUCAUAAUUGCAGGUUGAACUGACAGUAAUAAUGAGGAAAGGUUAAGGUGGUUAUCAAUCAUGCAUAUUUAAGAAGACUGAACUUAUCUUUUAACGUCUCAGAGUGACGCACGAGUCGAACCGUCAGAUAGUCUCAUCAAACCGAUUCUGGACCAGACUAAAGUCUGCAGAGUCCAGCAUGAACUCUAAACUAGCACAUUCUGUAAGAUGUGUCAACACCCGCGAAAACCGAACUAUUGUCUUUUUCCAAUUAAGACCGGACAACUGAAGGUCAUGAUAACACCUUAGUCCGACUAUAAUCAGAGUUUGAGAACUACGAUAAAGACACCCAGAUAAUGUGAUUGGAAUUUGAUUUUCUCUAUCAUGUAACCAGUGUAGUCGGAGUAUGUCUGGACAAUGCAUGUGUGCGUGUGCCACGCCCCCGUAACCCUGGAACAAAACCCCCAGAGUAGAGGAGUAGCGUUGGUCUCAUCUUUAGAAAAAGUAGCGCAUCCAUCAUGACGGACAAAAACAACGCUGUACGAUGCUCCAUCUUCUUGUUUCCUCAAAAUGACCAGCAGCAGUUGUAGACACUUCUGACGUCUUUUCAGCGCCGCAGUAUGACUGUUCACUGUGAAACUGAGACUCCAGGAAAAACAGAUGGAUGGUCAGUUAAAGUGAAGCUGCUGUGUACUAAACUGGGACUCAUAAACAGAGAAGCAGGGGGCCAGCUUUAUGGAUCCUUUUAACAGGAAAACUGAGACUUCUUACUAACGGAAUCAGACAGCAGUGGAGCCCAGAGUAUUGGGGGAGGGGGGGGGCUCUGUGGUUCCCGUCCAAGUGUGUCUUUUUCUGCCAGAUGUUCCUCUGGCGUUUCCUCUUCCAGCAGGCUCGGUUGUUGGUCUGAAUAAGGAGGUCAGUCUGUUUGUGUUUGCUCUGCAGGAGGUCGGCGUAGUGACCCUGGAGAGAGAGAGAGAGAGAGAGAGAGAGAGAGAGAGAGACUGAUGUGAAGCCAACAUACGACCUGCGAGCUGCUGCCAGAGAUCCACCGAGACCUGGUCUGAAAGUCUGACGAUGGACAGAGACACCCGCCGACACCCCGAGCUGCUGGGAGAGCCAGAAAUACACACCACCAGAUGUUCAGUUAGAGUCCACGAAUCUGAGAGAGAGAGAGAGAGAGAGAGAGAGAGAGAGCGAGAGAGAGAGAGAGAGAAAUGUCAUCGGAGAGAAGAAGAAGAGAAUCAGGACACAUCUCUGAUGGAGGGAGUUGUUUAUUUCAUCGGGUUUCUGUUUAUCUGCAGAAAGUGUGUCAGCUUUCAAUAGAAGAGAUGCUGCUGUGUACGAGUGUGUGUGUGUGUGUGUGUGUGUGUAUGUGUGAAGGGAUGAAAGUGAGAGCAUGAAUCUCAGCGUGGACAGAAACACUUGGUCCGGAUGAAGUGAUGAACCACCGCAGGAGGCAGAGGAGCUGAGAUGUGUUGCCAUGGAGACGAGUUUCUUUCACAGCAUGAGUCGUUCCGAGAUAAUUGAAUAACCGCCAUCAGAUCUGUCCUUGGAUUUCUUAGAGAGUGUGUGCGCGCAUGUGUGUGUGUGUGUGUGUGUGUGUGUGUGUGUGUGUUUGUGUAUAAGUGUGUUGUGUAGAAAAGAAACUUUUUUCCACUCAGGUGUUUGUUCAUCAGAAAAUUACAUUUUAGACUUUAACACAUCUGAUGUAUCCUAAAUGACAGAUAAUCCCUUUAUUUUAUGGGGGGGUUCUGUUCAUCGCUGCUCUACCCCCAUCGUUUCUGCCUUCAUGAUGCCUGAUGAAGGGAAGGUGCUCUUCCUGCCGCUGGCCUUUCACGCAUGCUUACAUGGAGAACAGGGGCCCCUGAUAGAACCUCGCAUACGCUCCCUGAUAUCGCCUUUUCAUGAUGGCUCAUGAGGGGCAGGAAGGGGCUCUUCCUGUCUCUGGCUUCCACGCAAGCACUUGGAAGGGCAGGGACCCAGAGCAGAACUAUGCCGCCAAAUUUAACUUUGCACAAAAAAGCUGAAUUUUGACAAAAUGAUCCUGAGUGAACUAAAACUCUGAGGUUUGUUACAGCAAGCCUGAAGCAAGAUGGCCACCAUGCGCGGACGUUGGUCUCCAUUGGCUAACAGCGUGUGUAAGCCAUCUAGCGUUUAUAUAUAUAUCUAUGGGUGCUACAGCUCAGAAACAGCAACAAAAAGCUUCAGUUCAGAGAGAGGAGAGGAAGCUCAGACGAUGCCCCUGCAGGAGAACCGCAAGAACUACAACAGCUGCACCACCCACUGGAGCAGAGAAGAGGAACAGAGGCCUCUGAUUGGCUGUGAAAUGUCAGGAUGUCAAAAAACGCGGAAUUACCGAGAGCUUUUCAGCCUCAAAUCUGUAUACUGGUGGAAGGCGGAACCAAGUCGUCUAUAUUAUAAAUACAGUCUGUGAUGAUGACUCAGUGAGGACAAAGAGGUUUUAAAUAGGAGGAGUUAGUUUGUGUUUUAGGCCCUAAAAUCUCCUCGACGUUGAAACAUUUCUGUGAUAUUUGACUUUAAAUCAGACGGUCGUUUGUUUCCUCAGACACACACAGAGCCGAGGUUUAAAACCACAAACAGGCUGCAGAUAGAAGACAUUAUCUCUGUAUGAAACGUGUGUGUGUGUGUGUGUGUGUGUGUGUGUGUGGGUAGUUGCUGUGUGUCUCUGCUUGUUAAUAAAAAAACGGCCGAACAGAGACUCAGACCUGAGGGACAAACAGAGUCCACAGGCAGAAAACAAUAACAUGACUAAUCCUGUCUGAGACGUUACACGCACACACACACAUGCACACACACACACACACACACACACACACAAACACCUACACAGAAAACAAACAGGACUUCUUCUUCUGUCCCCAUAGAGAUAAAACUGCAGCUCCUGACCUCCAUCAUAUUUAGUGUAGACGUUACUCUGUGUGUGUGUGUGUGUGUGUGUGUGUGUGUGUGUGUGUGUGUGUGUGUUACACAGCUGAAUUAGCCAUGUCCAUAUCAGAUCUUUCAGUCUAACAGAGUUUUAGUGAGAACAGCAGAGGUCCUGGUUGAUCCCGGUCCUGGUUUCAGGGCAGCUGGACCUGCUCCAGGUUCUCGGAGAUGUUUCUCCUCCUCGGUCCGUUUCACCAAAGAUUACAGAAACAUCCUGAAAUAUGUAAAUUUCUCCUCUCAGACUCUCAUAACCUGAUCUGACUGGAGCAGAGUGUUUCUGUCGGAUCGGCCCGUCGCCCUCAGACAGCCCCUCGCUCUAACAGCCGUCUGACUCUGAGGGAAUCAGGUUGAAUUAUGGGAAAUAUCAGGUUAAAUCAGUUCGGAGAGGACGAGGAAAUUUAGCUUCAACAUGAAUUAAAUCCUGAACUGUCUUCAUAAUGUCCUCUGGUCUCCUCUGAAAACACACAGGGACGGUGUCAAAGGUUCACCUUUUUACAGGUGAUAUAUUGAAAUGGCAGCAAAAGGACUUUUUUACAGUAACGUUUAGAAAAUUGAACUUUUUCUACUUUAUUUACUUUUGGGAACAUUUACAUUUCUUCAAAUUUUGGAGCCGAUUUUCUGUGUUUAAACACUACAGGCCAAAAGUUUGGAAGCAAGGCCGUUACAGGCCGAACAGUUGGGAGUAACUUCAACUUUUUGUUAAAUCCAGCAUGAGUUUGAGGUAUUUUGGGAUGUAUUUACUCCAUGAUCAGAUGUUGCUUUCAUGGAGAUGUUUUUAGAAAGGCUGGUCUGAAGGGUUGUGUAUCUGCAAAUAAACACUACUUUGUUCACAGAACAAGAAAAAGAGACACGAGUGGGCAAAAGCUCACAAAAACUGGACUUAUGAUGAUAGAAACAAGUUUUAACUGUUUGGUUCCAAACGCAGAGUCUAUGUCCGCAGACAAACUGGUGAACGUCUGAAAGCUCCAUGUGUUACACCCACAAUUCAGCAUGGAGGUGGUAGCUCCAUGGUAUGGGGACGUUUAUCAGGUGAUGGAGUAGGAGAUUUGUUUGAAGUAAAGGGUAUCAUGAAGAAGGAACAGUACCACUCCAUCCUCCAGCACCAUGCUGCUCCAUCUGGACUCAGACUUGUGGCUCAUAAGUUUGUUUUGCAGUAAGACAAUGACCCUAAGCACUCUGCCGAGCUCUGUCAGGGUUACCGAGACAAAAGAGAAGAGGAAGGUGUUCUUCAGAAGAUGGUUUGGACCCCUCAGUCUCCAGACCUUUCUCCAAUUGAGCUUGCGCGGGAUGAAUUGGAUCGAUCGGUCAGAAAAACACGUCCCACGAAUCAGCGUCUCUUUUUAAUGAACUUAAGAAAGCUUGAAUGUAAUCCCUGGAACAGACCUUAGAAAACUUGGUAACGAAUGCCUGGUAUAUGCCGAGCUGUUGUUAAAGCCAGAGGGGGUUACUUUAGAGAAAGCAAAGUCUAAGCAACAAUAACUCAAAUACCUCAUAAUUAUAGUCAAAAUGUCUUCUAAUAAGUUACUCUUUACACAAUAGUCAUGUUUACUGUGUUGCAAAUUAUAUUUAUGAAACUAUGAUCUUGUUUUGUACAAAUCUGAUCUUGUUUCCAAACUUUUGGCCUUUAGUGUGUGUCAGAAGGAAAUCAAGAGUGAGCCUCACCAUGCUUUAUUUACCUCUGGGGUGAGAUUUUAAAUAACUUUAUAGAGGAAACUUUGAUAUGUUCAAUAUUAAAGAAGUUGGCUUCAAUAAAUAUUUUUCAAUAGAGCAGAAGGAGAGAAUAUAUUACAUUUAAGUGUAUUUUCUGUACUUCUCCUGGUGUUCCGGUCCCCCUGUAGUCCAGUCUGACCCUGUUUCCCUCCUCUUCUCAGUGUUUUAUUCUUUAAAUCAGUUUACAGUGUUUAUUUCCUGUUUUAUUUUGUAGUGGUUGAUUCUUUGUUUAUUUCCUGUUUUAUUUUGUAGGAGUUGAUUCCUUGUGUUCCUGUUUUAUUUUGUAGUGGUUGAUUCUUUGUUUAUUUCCUGUUUUAUUUUGUAGGAGUUGAUUCCUUGUGUUUCUCGUCUGGUUUUACUUCCCCAGUUUUCCCUCCUUCGUUAAUCCUUCAUCAGUCUCACCUGUGUCUCGUUUACCUGUUUGUGUAUAAAGUCUCUGUCUUUCUCUUUGUUCUGGUCGGUUCAUUCUGUCUCAGUCCAGAGUGAAACAAAGAAAAAAGGACCCAAAUGCAGACAAAAAAAGAUUUAUUUAAAAAAGAACUAAAUGAAAAAAACAACAAAAACGUUCUUUAAAAUGUCCGACUGAAAAAUCCAAAAGGCGCGUUUAUCCAGAGACCCUUUCUUACUUUUAUAUCACACACUGGGACGGCAGCUGUGGGGAACCUCUUUACGUUUUACAGAUUAUUAAAGAAUCACUCGAGCUCUUUUCCUGAGAUAAAUUCAACAUUUAGGGGGCGCUGUUCCACUUUUAGAGACCCCUCAGAUGACACCUGUGUACUCCUCUUCUGCAUAAUGAAGUCUAAGAGGAGUGUUUCUUCAUCGUUUGUCAGCCUGUCAAUAAAACACUCGUCGGAGUUGGAGCCUCUCUGGAAAUGACGCUGAGAGGAGGAGGAGGAGGAGGAGGAGGAUAUUUGGAGCAGCCUCUCCGAGUGACGGACAGGAGGUUUAUUACUAAUCUGACCGAGUAUCAGCCGCUCUGUCGCCUCAUCAGCACACAGAUAUCAAACUGAUUAAACUCUACAUGAGGAGGCAGAGCGACGCUGGGACCCACCACGGCUCUCCCACUCUCCACCUGUUGGGCUCUGUGUGUGUGUGUGUGUGUGUGUGUGUGAUUCCUGAUUCCUCUGAUAAAACCCUGAAGUCUUCGUCCCUCUCUUCCUCUUCCUCUUCCUCUGGGUUUGGCUCAGUCUUCGGUUCCGGGCUCCUGUGACUCUCCGGGCCUCGGUCCAGAGCGACUCCGGCUCUGAGCUGCUUACAGUAAUCGCACCUUUGACACAGUAAAGACUGAUUGUGCUGACGUCAGCGUGUUCUGUUUGUACUCAGUGUAAUUAACUCUAUUGAUUUACAUUUUUAAGAUUCAUUUCUAGACGCCUGAAGUUUCCAGCUCAUCGACCGGCCUUGGAUUAAAAAGUCCUGAAAGUUUGACUGAAAUGUUAAAAGUCCUGAAAAAUAAAAUACUUUAAAAAAAAACAACAUUAAAUUCUGUGAAGGUGGUUCAAUCAGACAACGAUCAUAGAGUUUAGAAACCAGCAGCUGCAGCAAACCUCAGAAUUGAAGAUCUGUUUUAUGUUAUUUAUAUUUUUUUAUUUAUUUUAUUUUAUCUUCAUUUUGAGCUGACAGUCACAUUUCUAAAGACUGGGGCAUCAACUUCAGUGAGAGAUCCUAUUUUCCUUCAUACACCUUUCACCUUUCUUCAGAGUCUUUCAAAAUUAUGCAUGUCACAAAUUUUCACUGUUUAUUCGUCGUCACAUGAUUUAACAGGAUCGUUGCUUUAAAUAAUUAAAGAUUUGAGUCGUUUUACAGUUGAAAUGGUUUUUAUCAUGAUUUACUUGAAGUAAUUUGAUAUUUGUUUUCCUCCUGCAGAAACUAAUGGUGAUCUGUUAGUACUGAACGACUCCAAUCAGAACAAGUAUUGCAGUUCCCAUCUACACACUGAACUAGUCGUCAUUCACUAUGAAUCCAAACAAAAGCAAUUAGUCGCUCUUCAUUAUCUGCCUACGAUUGAGCGCCAGUGACAUACAGCAUUUACAGAACACACACUAAUGAGCUCAGAAUUUAACAAUGACCUUUACUAAUAUUACAACCUCUCUCUCUCUCUCUCUCUCUCUCUCUCUCUCUCUCUCUAAACCAUAAAGACAAACAGACGAGGUGAUUUCAGUGACUCAGUUUGAUCAUUUUUAUUAUUUUUUUUUUUACCCACAAUCAGAGACUUGACCACAAUCUGAGCUGAGUCAGAAACAUCCAAACAGUCGGACUAAUAAAUGUGAUUAUUAUUACUAGAGUGAUUGAAAAGCUCAUAACAACAUGUAGAUCUGUCCAAAGUCUGAUUCUAGAUGUCUUUACAAACACACUGAUCCAACAGAAGCAGACAGAAAUAUCCAUCGAUCACAUGAACACAAAUAUUCAGCAAACAGAGAAAGAAACAGAUCAUCUGAAGAGUUUUUGGGGACGACUGGAAAGACUUUAGACGCUUGGAUUUGGGACAGGAAAUAAGGUCGUCCUUUUUCUGUGAUUUUGACCUCACUUUUUUCUAAAGUCUCAGACCUUCAACAUCUGCACCA
rnacentral:lncRNA from 1 species